rnacentral:rRNA from 1 species
AGCGCAGGCGGGAGAACAAGUUGGAAGUGAAAUCCAUGGGCUCAACCCAUGAACUGCUUUCAAAACUGUUUUUCUUGAGUAGUGCAGAGGUAGGCGGAAUUCCCGGUGUAGCGGUGGAAUGCGUAGAUAUCGGGAGGAACACCAGUGGCGAAGGCGGCCUACUGGGCACCAACUGACGCUGAGGCUCGAAAGUGUGAGUAGCAAACA